CUUCUCUUUUUCCCUAGGUCUACUGAUAUCUUGACCUAUUCUUUAGUCAAGCUGUCAGAAAAACUUCUUUUAAGGUAAGUUUUGGAUUAGUUCAGAUCAAAACAAUGAAUUUGUAUGCUUUAGAGUUGAUUCAUAAUCAAAUUUGGUUUUAUAGGGGCAAUAAAAUGUGAGAUGGCUAUGACCUUUUUUUUGCUGCCUUUUACACACACAAAAAAGGGAGGCAUACAUAAGAGGAAAGAUCAUAGUUAAUAAUUGGAAAUCAGAAAAUCCCAUUUUGGAGCAUAAUCCAUUUUAGUUAAGUUAUGAAUUUUAAUACUCACAGUUAUUUACGGUUCUUCAGUUCUCAGAUUUGUAAGGUUCUAUAGUGAGUGAAACUGAUUAUUUUCUGCUCAAUGGGAAUUGAAAUAUGAUUGCGGUACUAUUAUUAACUGAUUCUAUAUUACACACUAAUUUGAACCUAAUCUAUAUUUAGUUGCGUCUCUGAUCUACUUUUUUUUCUGCUGUUGGUUGGGGAUAGAUAAAUCAUAUCUUCAGGCUUUAACGCUACUUCUCUGGGGAUUGCAUUUUGUCAUGUAAUCAGUAGGUAAAAUUCUUUGAUUAUUACGGGCAGAAACUGAACUCUUCAGAUGUUGGUGUGUCUUGCAAAGGGACAUGCACUUUUUUCUCGAAGAAUAGCAAAUGUUAGGUACACAAAUAAAGGACGGCUAUGUAUUAUUGCCAUUGAAGACCCACAGGCAACAGAGAAAGAUAUUGGGAAGAACCUCAAGUAUUUAUGUUGUUUUUGGCCCAAGAGACCUCUGCAGUUGUUUGUUCCCUUGGUGUUCAUUCUAUUGAUUUUUUGUGUACAUUCAGGUACAAUUUUUGCUAUAAUUUUCUUAAUAGUAAUAUUUGUUUUGUCA